CACGAGGACCACACCACCAAAAAGACGGGCAAGAAGCAGAAACCUUGCGUGAACCACCACAUGGCGCUCGCGUGGACCCGUCCUGGGAUGACCUUAACUUAAGCGCCGGCCGGGGCGGGCGGUCGCUCGGGGCGGAGAGUGUGAGUCGUCGCUUGGAAUCGACGCAAGAGAAGACAGGAGAACUGGAGCAUCCUCCCUCAGUCGAUCACGCUACUGGUGGAUGGACUCGACGGCUGACGGUUGACUUUUCAAACUUAAAGAUGAUUUGUCAAUUCUCCAAACAUGUUCUUGGUGGGCUUUUUUUUCUUCUCAACUUAUUAUGGCUACCGGUGUGUGUGGAGACAGAGAGAAAGCAUGAGCCUCACCUCUUUUUACAAACUCUGCGUGAUCCUUUGGAAGGAAUGAUUGUCGACGUAUUCUUUUCCAAAUAUCAUCGAGUAUAGCCGGACAGCUUUCGACAUCGACAACGACUACUUUGCAGAUAGUUGCCACGCUUGACGAACCACUUGAACAAGAAUGAUAGAUGUCUUAGAGCUUACCUCACUAUCUCCUGUCCGCGUGGGAUGCUCAAGUCAAAAUGCACUUGACUUUUUUUUUUUUUUGAACUCGCUCGCUGAGUAAGACAUAAUUGUUUGUUCUCGAAAAGGGGUGGGCUGAGCAGCGGCUGCCAACCUGUAAAACCACCGCCUGUGGUUUACGCUGUCUCUGGCACUAGUCUAAUCUAAUACGAAAUGUUUCAAUUUAGUCUUAAAUUAGAUUCAAGCAACAAUGUUUGUGACAAAUGUGAAAUGGAACCAAAAAUAUAUACACUGAAUCUUUUGGAAUGUACCUAUCUCUGCAACUGGCUACUGGACUUCCUCUGUCAGACAAGAUCUCCGCCAGCAUCACGCUGAGCACAGGGGCCCCCCAAGGCUGCGUGCUCAGUCCGCUACUCUUCACCCUCCUGACGCAUGACUGCAUUGCAACCCACAGCGACAAGCGCAUAGUGAAGUUUGCUGACGACACCACUCUGGUGGGUCUCAUCACCAAGGGAGACGAGACUGGAGGUUGACCUUCUGACCACGUGGUGCAGGGACAACAACCUCCUGCUGAACGUCGACAAGACCAAGGAGGUUGUUGUUGACUUCCGGAAGGGUCACACCCAACACCUGCCGCUGACUAUCGACGGUGCUGUGGUGGAGAGAGUGAGCAGCGCCAGGUUCCUGGGGGUGCACAUCAGUGAGGAUCCACCAACACCGCAUCACUGGCGAAGAAGGCCCAGCGCCGCCUGUACUUCCUGCGGAAACACAGGCGAGCGAGCGCUCCUCAGGCCGUCAUGACUCCAUUUUACCGUGGCACCAUUGAGAGCGUCCUCUCCAGCUGUAUCGCUGUUUGGGGUGGCGGCUGCACUGACUACAACUUGAAGGCCGGCCCUGCAGCGCAUAGUGAACACGGCUGGUAAGAUUAUUGGUGCUUCAUUCCCCUCCUUGAAAGACAUUUACAUCUCCCAUCUCACCCGCAAGGCGACCACGAUUGUGAGUGAUGUGAGUCACCCCGCUCACUCUUUGUUUGAGCUUCUGCCCUCUGGGAAGAGGUACAGGAGCCUGCGCUCCCGCACCACCAGACUCAACAACAGCUUCAUACUCCAGGAUGUUAGGAUCCUGAACUCGCUUCCCCUUUCUGCGUAGCGUCCUGUACUUUUUCGCUCUAUUCUGACUGUCUGCUGUAUGCACACUGGCUCCGUUUUGCUCCUCUUAUUUAUUGUGUUAUCUUUGUUUAUUAUUUAUUCAUCAUUCUUAUUAUUUAUUGUUUGUGCCUUCUUGUUUUUACAUUGUGUCGUUUACUCGGACGUCUAUCGUGUAAUAUGUCUCGUCACCGUGGGAUAGAGAAAACGUCGUUUCGGUUUCUUUGCGUGUCUUGACGUGUGAAGAGAUUGACAAUAAAGCUGACUUUGACUUUG